AGUAUGCUUCCUUUGACUCUACUUGUUGAAUGUAAUUGUCACAAAUUUGAGUUUGGUUUAUGGGUGCGAGUUCAUAAAUUACUGUUAGCAUCAUGUGUCGAGUAAACGUGACGAGAGAGAUGGCGGUACUUACAGAGCCGAGCUGAGUGGAGAACUUGAUGAGGUGGAGAUUGUAGGGAUCGCAGGCCAGGUACAAGUUCUUCACCACGAUGGCCCCCGAAUCCUUGUCGGCCUUCGGUCUCUCCGAGCUCGUCCUCACUUCCAAGUGGGUCUCUUUCAGGGAACCUUGUACCUUCUCUCUGUAAAUCACCUGUUUGUUCCUCAUAACUUCCGCUGAAGCGUUGUUGUUCUCCUUCUCCAUUCUCUCUCUCUCUCUCUCUCUCUCUCUCUCUCUCUGGAUUUGAUCGGUGAGACGCAUGGCCAAAUACUUUAUAGGGAAGAUGGGUGAUAAAAGAUGGGUGAUGAAAUAUGCAGUCGCCGGUGACGUGUGCCCGUGUGUCAUCCGUGGAAUAGUAUUCCAAUUGGGAGACCAUUUCAAAGAAAUGGGCAACCGGUUGAAAUCUAAACAAUAUAUUAUUAUAUUUGCUAAUCUUAAUUAAUUCAACAAGGAAACUAGAUAAAAAAAAAAAACAAUACAUACGAUGAAAUGAAGGUUUUGUUUUCUUAUUUUAUUUAAGGAAUAAUAUUACCAUCGUUCCUUUAUUUUUAUCAAAAAAAUCAAAAUCAAAAUCAUCCUUCUUUCUUUUAUUAUUAUUUUUUAAAAACGUCUCUCGAGUUUUUAGAAAAUGUCAAUGUACAGUCCUUCCAUUAUAAUUUUUCCCUUACUCGUCGAUUUUUGUUGACAUGGAUUAGAGAAUUAAUAAUAUAGAUGCUAGUGAAUACAUGUGUCACACUGAAAUACAUAUGUCAUGUCAUGAUUUUUUGAAAUUUAUUAUAAGUCAAAAAGGCACCACAUUAAUAUAUAUAUAUAUAUAUAUAUAUAUAUAUAUAUAUAUAUAUAUAUAAAACCAAAAUUGAGAGAGAAAAACAGAUGGAGGAUCAUCAUCGUAGCCAGAAGCUCAAGCUCUAAGCUUGUAGCAACCAUGGUCACAGUGGCCACAACCACUAGAGUUUCGAAUUGUGAAUUUUGAGAGCAUGGCUACUCGAGAAAAGCUCAUGGUCAUGGUGGCUCAAUUGGUGGUCGUAAAUGGUUACAAAUCAUAGUUUUUGUGUUUAUUAUGGAUGUUUUGUAGGUUUUCUUCAAGUUUAUCGUUUAUGUUAUUUUAUUUUUAUUAUACUCAAAUUUAAGAAAUUUUACUUCGAGGGAUUAAAGGAAAUCCCGAUAACUAAGAUUUCAUUCCAAAUUUCCCAAAGAAACAAGAUGACCCAUUUAUCUUGUUCCCUCUACUUAUACUAUUAACUUAUUCGCUCUUUCAAUGAACAUUUUAUAGCACUUUAUGCUUCAUAUUUGAUGAAGUGGCAUGUCACAUAAUGCUUAAGCAUGUAUAAAUUACUUCACCUUUCACCUGCCCUUAAAACCUACCUUAACACUUUUUCUUUGGAAGAAGUACAUCCCAGGUGUCAAAGCUUGACUCAAAAGGACACUUAAAUUCCAAAAAUUAGGAAAGUGAUACUUAAGUGUCAUCUCUGGUAAACCCGCCGAAAAUCUUACGUGAUAAUUUUUUAUUAUUUUUCUUGCCUACAUGGCUUGUCAAAGAGUUGACUUAGCAAAGAAAUGCAAAAACGACGUCGUUUUAAUGUGAAUUUGAAUUUGAAUAUAAAAUUUAAUUAAAUUAAACUAUAAAAAUUAAUUAAAAAUAAAUAAAAAAUUUUUAAAAAAGGGAGGGAUGAAGAAGGUGGCUGAGGGCUGAGCCCUCUGCCACUGCCUCCCUAUCGUCGCAGGGAAGGGCUAGCGAAGGUGGGGGGAGGGUUGGCUAGGGCCCAACGACCCUGGUUGAUCAAUGACGAGGGCUUGCGAGCCCUCGCCUAGAUCUGGGGUGAGGGUCGCAACCCUCCCCCAAAUCUGACAAGGGUAGGCGACUCUCGCUUGAAUAGGCCAAGGGCCGCUGCUAGCUAGGGGCGCCCCAACGGGCAACCAUUGUUUGCUGUUUUGUUGAAAUCCAAAUGUUACAAUAAGUGCACAUCCGUCUACUUCAAUAAUUGAAUCAUAUUAUUUAUAUUUGUAUUUUUUCUUUGUGUUUAUCUUUAUAUUCUAUUUGUUAUUAUUAUAUAAUUUUUUCAACUGAGUGUUUCUUAUUUAUGUUUGAUUGUCAAGAGAAAAAUAUCAUUUCAGUCCUUCUCAUAUAGUUCUUUAUUUAAAAUUAAACAAAUAUAUUUAGUUGUUAAUACCAUUCAAAGUCAAACAAAAAUAUUCAAAUUAUGCGUAAGAAAAUAUUAAAUUGUAUCUUGCGUUUGAGUUGGUGAAAGAAAUAUUAAGAAAUCCAUUUUCUUAUUGGGAUCAGGAUCCAUCAGACCAUGUAGUUUUCUGGACUGGUUUGUUUGGCUUUUUCGGUUUGGUCAAAGGAGACGUCUGGUUGUUUGACUCCUACACGCAGCGACACAAGAGAGAAAGCCAUUAAAGAAAUGGAGGGGGUGAAAGGGUCUUUGUCAGAGUAAGAAAACAAAGUAAAAUAUAGUUUUUUUUUUCUUUCACGAGGGCUCAGGUACACAAGAAUUUUGUUGUGUGACUUUUAUAUCCAAGUCGAGUUGUCGCACUUACUAAUAAUUUAGGUGUGGGAAAUAUUAGAGCAUGUUCAUGAUCGUAACUUUGAUUCUCCGAUUUUAUAAUGAAUUAUUUACUGUUGAUUCUUCUUGUGAAGAAAGUACUGAUACUCAAACCGAAUCAUCUAAUUCAUUCAUGUCUUUUAUUUUUCUUGUUUAUUUCUUUGGUAAUUUCACAUUGAUUUAAAUUGCAAAAUCUUGUUAGUUUCCUCAUUAAUUUUACAAUGGGAAGUUUGCUGUCUAUACAUUUUAAGAGAUUGCGUGGUCUUUAUACAUGCAAUGCACGUAACAUUCUACUAGCAAUUUGAAUACGGAUCAUUACUAGAAAAGUCUUAAACUUAUUAUUCAAAUGGCAAUUUAGUUCAAAACUUUUUAAUUUAGCCAAAUUAAUCCUAAUUUUUUUUGACAAUUUGUCAAUGUAAUCAUACCGACCAAUUUUGGUCGGUAAUUGCUGACGUGGACAAAAAUUGUCUUAUGUGGCAUAGUCGAUACUGAUGUAAAGAACUUUUUUUUGUGAUAUUUUAAUUUUUUUAAUUUUCUUUUUCCCCCCUCUUCCUUUGCCGGUUGCCAUGGCCAAUAAUCAGCCAUAGUCGAGGGCUGGUGAGGGCAAGCCUCACAUGAGGCCCAUGAGAUCAGCCCUUGUUCGACCCUUGCUUGUCGCUUGCUAGCAAUUGCCAAGGCCUGACAACUGGCAAGCAAGAAGGAAAUAAAAAAAGAAAGAAAAUAAAAAAGGAAAAAUUCAAAUAAAGUAUAUAUAUUUAGAAAAAUAUAAAAAAUGCAAAAAGUUGAUUACAUUAGUGUUGGCUAUGCCACAUUACUGGCCAAAAUUAGCUAGAAGAAUUAUAUUAGCAAAUCAUCAAAAAAAAAAUUAUGAAUAAAUUGGCUAAAUUGAAGUAUUUAUGAUUGAAUUGGUAUCCGUAUAAUAUAUUUAACAUUUUUUUUUGGAAAUUUGUAUGGAUUAUGGCUCAAAGUUAGUUCCUACUAUUUCUAAAUUUGACCCACGGAUUACAAGUAAUCAUGCUCAAUAUUAAGGAAAGUCCAAAUCGGACUCUUGUCAACAAGAUCAUGAAUAACAAGAUCAUGAGUAACGCAAAAAAUAUAUAUUAACUUCUCAAAAAAUUUCUUUUUUCUUAUUGAAGAUGAAGUCUAUGUUGAUGUACUUACCAAAAAAAAAAGAGUCUAUGUUGAUGUCUGAAAAGUGCUCAUAGUUUCUUGCAUACAAAUAUUAUGUUGUUGAAUUUGGUUGGGUGUGCAUAGUUAGUGCGCUUAGUAUGUACGACACUUGCAAGAGACACAAAGUGCACCAAGAACCACAAUCCAAGAGAUUCGAGAGUAUAAGAAAAUUCCUCUUUUGCAAACGAUUUUUGUGGGUUCCUCCUGAAUUAAAAAAAAAAAAACUUAUAAGUGAGUAUGACUGAGUAAUUGUAACUUUAUCCUCCUUGAUUAUUGUGGAGUUAUCUUGUUGAUUUCUCAUGUUAGAUUUGACAUAUAAUCAAAUCAUGUAAAUCUGUUAUUUUUCGAUUUUAUCUAUGAAAUUUAUAUCUUAAUUAGGGUAUGCGUGUUUCAUAGAAAUCUUCUCGAUGGAAGAAUAUAUUUUUGCAAAAAUCAUUUUCUAAGGAAAUAGCUUGUCAUUAGUUAUUUGAUGGUGUUCUUGAAGGCGAGACAUAAUUAUUUUUGAUGUUUUAAACCUAACUUUAAUAAAUUAAGCUCAAUGUUAUAAUUAUGGUUUGCUCCUAAUAUGAGAUACUAAAGUGAUAUCCAAAUCAUUGUCUAAAAUAUUACUAAUGUUUGGAAGAUAAUUUUAUGGAUUUUUAUUAUCAAAAUAAUGCAACCUGAAAAAGGACGCCCAAGAAGAAAAUGCAAAUAAUUAACAAACUUAAUCUAUCAGUACUCUUUCGAAUACCAACAAAAAAAAAAAAAAAAAUCAAUCAGUGCUCAUAAAACUUUACGUGAAAAUAGAUCUCCAUUCCAAAAAAUUAAUCAAAGAGGGAUACACAAUAAAAGUCCAAUCUGGAAAAGAAAAAAAAAAGGAAAAAGAAGAGUCAUCAUAAAAUUAAAGACAAAAACAUCCUAAAUUGGCAUUUCCACGGACACUUCAUGUAUCAUCCUUCUAAAAUAUGCAUCAUACAGCCGAGUGACGAAUAACCAAAUAACAAUUUAGUCUGACAGAGAUGCAACAAAUUGAGCAAUUGAAGCUAAUUCUAGUACCAAUCUGAAGAGGAGAUGAAACAGUUUUGAGAGUUUGCUGUGAAGAAAAGAAAGGAUGGAGAGUGAAGACUAGUAGGGACAGAGGGAGAACAGAGCACGCUUGUAGAAAAUGAGUCUGAAAAAACCGAUUUCUUCUUUUUAGGAUAGAGAAGUCAAUUUCCUGGAUGUUGAGUAUUGUUUUUUUUUUCUUGCCUGAAAAGUUUUUUCAAUAGAUUAUCCACUUUCAACAAAUCAAACGUAUUGAUCUUUAAAAAAUCAUUUCAUGGAAGUCCUUUCCUUAAAAACAAUGACACCCUCCAAAUUGCUUUGAUUCUUCACAUUUUCGCGCUAGUCAAAACAGUUUGAUCUUUCAAACCAGUUCAUUUAAAGGCGACGGCACGGUAAAGGAAGAUCCAUUUACAUCGACAUCUUAGAGAGUAAUAGAAUGAAAUUUUAUACCAAUAGAUUCAGCAGAGAAGAUAUCCUCCGAAAGAAUAACAGAGCAUUCGCACCCAAAAGUGCAGUAAGCGGGAAACUACUAGCUUCUGUUUCCCCACCAUUGCAACCAGAAAACAACCCCAUGCCCCUUCUUAUACAAGACACAUUUCCACUCAAAUGUACUUUGUAUCAUAGCGGCAAUGUAAUGACAAACGGAAAACAACUCCUUUCGAAAGCACGAGGCAAAAUGAGACUAUGUUGAUGAAAAAAAGUACAGAAAGCUUACUCAUUUGCGAGAAACCACGACCACCUGUUUCCCGAUGUUGCGACCGGAGAACACCCCAACAAGAGCUGCUGGACCAUUCUCGAGCCCUUCCGCGAUGUCUUCCGUGUAUGCAAUCUUCCCCUCUCUGAUCUGAGGCAAUACCAUCUCCAGGAACUUCGGGUAGAGAUGAUAGAAAUCGGACACCGAGAAACCUUCCAUCCGAACCCGCUUCCAGAUAAGGUUUAUCAAGUUGUGUACGCCUUCGUGCUGCUCGAGGUUGUACUGUGAGAUCAUUCCGCAUACUGUGAUUCGGCCAUGAAGUUUCAUAUUGGGCAGCACGGCAUCAAGCAUCUUUCCGCCGACAUUUUCGAAGUAGAUAUCGAUCCCCUCAGGGAAGCAUCUAAACAUUCAAGACAGAAAAAAGUCAACUCUAGUCGGCUUUGGAAUGGGUACAUAUUGAAUAUUUUGCACAUAAGUAAUGUGCUCAAUCAUCGUUACUUUAUUCUUGAUUCACCUUUUCAGUGCUGCAUCCAGAUCCAGUUCCUCCUUGUAGUUGAAAGCAUCAUCGAAUCCAAACUUGUUCUUCAGCAAAUCAACCUUUUUCCCAAACAUAACAGCAAGCGAGUAUUUUAAGUAAAGAUAAAAUCGGGAAGAGACUAUUAAGCAAUUACUAUCCAAGGAAAAACUAGACAAAUGUGAGAUGAUUACCUUCUCUUUUCUACCGGCGCUGCCAACAACAUAACAACCAAACAACUUUGCAAACUGGCCGACAAGCUGACCAACAGCUCCUGAUGCCGCCGAUAUGAAAACAGUAUCUCCUUUCUUGGGAGAGCAUACCUCGAAAAACCCAGCAUAAGCCGUCAUACCUGGCAUACCUGGAAAGUUUGGAUUUAUACAAAUUAGACGAGUUUCAAGAUUUGCUUAAGCAUAGGAGGAGGAGUGUAAUGCCAUGGCAAAUCUCAAAUGAUCCGAUUUAAUUGACCGAAGGUGAUGCCCCUGACAAAUGGAUGAGAAACAAUCAAUUUACACGCUUCUCUCAACACGAAAGAGCUGUACAGUGCUCCAUUGUUGAGAUAACUCAACGAGGGCAUAUGGCGCUUAAACAAGGAAGAUCCCCCCCAAGUAAAAUUCAAAGGAAGCACGCUUUUUCCUUGCAUAGCUGGAGGCUGUCCGUACUUGAGAACCAAACAGACAGAACAAAGUAUCUUAACGAUUCAAUGCUCCUCAUUAUUUAACUCUGAAAGAGAUAUCGCACCAAAUGAUUAAAGAGCAUACCCAGAAGGCCGGUGUAGUAAGACAGAGGAACAUCGGUGUGUUCGAUCUUAAAGCAAGUCUCUGGCACAGUAAUUAGACUAUACUCCUCCCAUCUAGUGAUGCCCCAAACCAAGUCGCCUUUCUUGAAGUUUGGAUGCCCAGAUUCCAAAACUCUAGCUACUCCAUAUCCACGAACAGGCUGCAUCGUUGUGUUAGAUUCUUCAGAAUAUAAGCGCAACUACAAUUAGCAAACUCGAAUAGACUUUGAGCGAACAAGAAGGAAAGAGUAUGCUUCCUUUGAAUCUUACUUGUUGAAUGUAAUUGUCACAAAUUUGAGUUUGGUUUAUGCAUGCGAGUUCAUAACUUACUGUUAGCAUCAUGUGUCGAGUAAAUGUAACAAGAGAGAUGGCGGUACUUACAGAGCCGAGCUGAGUGGAGAACCUGAUGAGGUUGAGAUUGUAGGGAUCGCAGGCCAGGUACAAGUUCUUCACCAUGAUGGCCCCCGAAUCCUUGUCGGCCUUCGGUCUCUCCGAGCUCGUCCUCACUUCCAAGUGGGUCUCCUUCAGGGAACCUUGUACCUUCUCUCUGUAUAUCACCUGUUUGUUGCUCAUAACUUCCACUGAAGCAUUGCUGUUCUCCUUCUCCAUUCUCUCUCUCUCUCUCUCUCUCUCUCUCUCUNNNNNNNNNNNNNNNNNNNNNNNNNNNNNNNNNNNNNNNNNNNNNNNNNNNNNNNNNNNNNNNNNNNNNNNNNNNNNNNNNNNNNNNNNNNNNNNNNNNNNNNNNNNNNNNNNNNNNNNNNNNNNNNNNNNNNNNNNNNNNNNNNNNNNNNNNNNNNNNNNNNNNNNNNNNNNNNNNNNNNNNNNNNNNNNNNNNNNNNNNNNNNNNNNNNNNNNNNNNNUAAACAAUAUAUUAUUAUAUUUGCUAAUCUUAGUUAAUUCAACAAGGAAACUAGAUAAUAAAAAAAAAAAAAAACGAUAGAUGCGAUGAAAUGAAGGUUUUGUUUUCUUAUUUUAUUUAAGGAAUAAUAUAACCAUCGUUCCUUUAUUUUUGUCCGAAAAUCAAAAUCAAAAUCAUCCUUCUUUCUUUCUCUUUAAGAAAGAAAAAAAAAACGUCCCUCUACUUUUUAGAAAAUGUUGACGUGCGGUCCUUCCAUUGUAAUGUUUCCCUUACUGAUCGAUUUUUGUUGACAUGGAUUCAAAAUUAAUGAUAUAGACGCUAGUGAAUAUACGUGUCACCCUGAAAUAUAUGUCAUGUCAUGAUUUAUUGAAAAUUAUUAUAAGUAAAAAAGGCACCACAUCAAAUAAUAUUAAACAACAGAAAAACCAAAGUUGAGAGAGAGAAAGAGAUGGAGGAUCAUCGUCGUAGCCUUGAGCUCAAGCUCUAAGCUUGCAACAACCAUGGUCGCGACGGCCACAACCACUAGAGUUUCAAAUUGUGAAGCUCGAGAUCAUGGCUGCUCAAGAUAAGCUCACGGUCAUGUUGGCUCAAUUGGUGGUCGUAAAUGGUUACAAAUCAUAGCUUUUGUAUUAUUAUGGAUGUUUUGUGGGUUUUCUUCAAGUUUAUCAUUUCUAUUAUUUUAUUUUUAUUAUACUCAAAUUUAAGAAAUUUUACUUUGAGGGAUUAAAGGAAAUCCGAGAUUUCACUCCAAAUUUCCCAAAGAAAUAGGAUGAACAAUUUAUCUUGUUCCCUUUACUUGUACUAUUAACUUAUUUGUUAUUUCAAAGAACUUUUUAUAACACUUUAUGCUUCAUAUUUGAUGAAGUGGCACGUCACAUAAUGCUCAAGCAUGUAUAAAUUACUCCACCUUUCACCUGCCCUUAAAACCUACCUUAAUACUUUUUCUUUAAAAAAAGUACACCCCAAGUGUUAAAAUUUGGCAUAAAAUGACAUUUUAGUGCCAAAAAUUAAGAAAAUGCCAUUUUUUGAAAUGUGAGAUUGCCAUCUACGAUUAACCUUGCCAGCAAUCCUACAUGGCAAUUUUUUAUUAUUUUUCUUGCCUACAUGGCUCACCGGAGAGCAGACUCAAUAAAGAAACGCAAAAAUGACAUCAUUUUGACGCGGAUUUGAAUUUUAAUAUAAAAUUUAAUUUAAUGAAUCUAUAAAUAAAUUAUAUAUAUAUAUAUAUAUAUAUAUAUAUAUAUAAGGGGGUGAAAAGAAGAAGGUAGCUGAAGGUUGAGCCCUUACUGCCGCCUUCUCCCUGCCGUCACUUGGAACAGCCAACAAAAGUGGGAGUAGGGUUGGCUGGGAUCGCCGGGCCUUGGCUAGGGGUUAGCGACCCCGACUGACCCUUGCCCAAAUCUUUUGCAAGGGUCGCCACCCUUCCCCAGAUCUGGCGAGAGUCUAUAGCUCUCACAUGCAUAUACGGCGAGGGUCACCGNNNNNNNNNNNNNNNNNNNNNNNNNNNNNNNNNNNNNNNNNNNNNNNNNNNNNNNNNNNNNNNNNNNNNNNNNNNNNNNNNNNNNNNNNNNNNNNNNNNNAAAGGAUAGGAAUUUGCUAAACAUUCUCUUUAUAUUUCAAGAACCAUAAUUCUCUAGAAAUCUACAUGGAAGAAAAGGAAGUGCCAGAUACCUGGAGUGUCAAAACUUGGCACAGGGGGAUACUGAAGUGCCAAAAUUGGAGCAAAAUUGAUCACUUAGGGCGCGUUUGAUUGUGUUUCUGUUUAAAAAUUGUUCCAGGGAACAGAAAUAGAAAAAAGUAUUUCUGUUCCGGGGAACAAUUUUUGAACAAAAAUACGCGUUUGGUAAACUUGUUCCGGGAAUAAAAAAUAAACAGAAACAUGUUUGGUAAAUUUGGAUAAUUUUUUUAUUUCUUUUAUUUUUUCUAUUUUUUUCUUAUUUUUCCUUUUUUUCUUUUUUCUUUUUCAUUUUUUUUUUCUUCUUUUGGCCGGUCGCCGGCCAAGGCCUUGGCCGGCGACCGGCCAAAAGAAGAAAAAAAAAAUGAAAAAGAAAAAAGAAAAAAAGGAAAAAUAAGAAAAAAAUAGAAAAAAUAAAAGAAAUAAAAAAAUUAUCCAAAUUUACCAAACAUGUUUCUGUUUAUUUUUUAUUCCCGGAACAAGUUUACCAAACGCGUAUUUUUGUUCAAAAAUUGUUCCCCGGAACAGAAAUACUUUUUUCUAUUUCUGUUCCCUGGAACAAUUUUUAAACAGAAACACAAUCAAACGCGCCCUAAGUGAUCAAUUUUGCUCCAAUUUUGGCACUUCAGUAUCCCCCUGUGCCAAGUUUUGACACUCCAGGUAUCUGGCACUUCUUUUUCUUUCAUGUAGAUUUCUAGAGAAUUAUGGUUCUUGAAAUAUAAAGAGAAUGUUUAGCAAAUUCCUAUCCUUUCCAGCAAUUAAAAAACCAUUUGCAUUUCUGAAAAUUACGUUAGAACUUUAGCUGAAGAAUUUUACCUUUUUUUUUGUCCUUUUUAGGAAGCUUUAGCCUUCUCUCUGACUCGUGAAGUGGAAAAACCGGAUCCGACCCCCAAAAAGAAAAAAUAAAAAGUGGAAAAACCGGCAACUCAAGUUUGUGGGUUACUCGAUUUAAAUUGUGCGAUGGAAGACAACCCAUCACUUGAUUGCGGAUAACGGUGCCGUUAUGCUCACUUUCCUCAUUCCAAUUCCAUUUCUCUCUUCAAUUUGUAAUUGUUAUUGUCGUUGUCCUCGGUGAAUUUUAAUUCUUACUUUUGCUUUUCCCUUGUUGAUAUAUUAUUCUGGACACUCUUCUCGCACUUCUUAAUUAACUCUUUUUGAAUUUUUGGCAUUCCUCUCAAUUAUUAAAUUAACUCUUUCUUCAAAAUUAUCAUACAUUUUCAAUUAACGAAAAUAUAUAUAUUUUUUGCAUGAAAAAAUUCUUGUCUUUUUUUCAAUUUUUGUUUUCUUUUGUUUGGAAGAGUUUAUUUGAGUAAAUAUAAUAUUAGCUACUUCAAACUUUAAAUUUGAUUACUUACUGUCCAAUUCAUUUUCUUCAUGCAUUUUUUCUGUCUCAUUUGAAGUGCUAUACUUGCUUUUUAUAUUCUUCUUCUUUCUUUCCUUUCUUUUCUAUACUUGAUUUUAUAAACUAAAGGGACUCGGUCAAACCCCAAAUGUUACACUAAUCAAAUAAUUUAUAUUUGUGUGUUUUCACUGUGUUGAUCUUUUCCUAUGUUCUAUUUGUUAUUAUUAUAUAUUUCUUUUCUAAUUAUUAUAUUUUUUUUUUCUAAUGAGUGUUUCUCAUUCGCAUAUGAUUAUCACAAGAAAAAAAAAUCAAUUUCAUUCCUUCUCAUAAGAGUCAAACAAUAAAUAUUCAAACCGUGUUUAAGGAAAUGUUAGAUUAUAUCUCGACUUGGGAACCAUGUGAGGAAUAUCAAGAAAUAUAUUUUCUUAUUGGGUUCGGAUUCAUCGGACGAUGUAGUUUGCUCGAUUGGCUUCCGACGAAGGAGCCACAAGGUUAUUGGCUUAUUCAGUUUUGGUCAAAGAAGAUGUGUGGUUGUUUGACUCCUAUGCGCAGCCGCACGACAGUGAGAGCCACUACAGGACAAAAUAAAGGGGUCGCAUAUUCUCUAAUUAUAUAUUUAUUUCGGGGGUAAAAAGAUUUUUGUCUGAGGAAACAGCCCGUGGGCUCUCGAGCAGAACGUAGACUUUGGGGGUGUUUGGUUCAGCUUUCCCAAGGGGCUUUGAGCCUCGAAAGCCCCUUGGGAAAAAUUAGAGGGUGUUUGGUUCGGCUUUCAAAUGCUCCUUGGUGAAAUGUUUGCCUUUGGAAUGCUGAAUGCCGAAUGCUGGGGGGGACCAGCUUUGAGCAUUGGGCAUUCUGGAGAUGCGAUAUUACUGUUCAUCGCGUCACUGUUCAUCGUCUCCUCCGCCGUUCGCCUUCUUCUUCGCCAUUCAUCUUCUUCUUUGCCAAAGGCAGCGCUCAGCCGCGAUCUGGCCGUCGAGAAGCCUCGCCUGAGGUCGCACAACCUUAGGCGAGGUGGCCUGAGGUCGGGCAACCUCAGGCGGCGUCGCCUGGUCUCGCGCUAGCCAGGCGACCAGGCGAGGCCAGAUCUGGCCAUUUGACGGCCAGAUCUGGCCCCUGCGACCUCCGGCGGCCAGAUCUGGUGGUUCGGCGACGGCCAGAUCUGGCCGUCCGGCGGUGGCUGGCGGUUGGCCGACAGUAGCCGACCGUCGGAAUUUCAUUUCAGACUUUAAAGAAAAUAAAAAAUAACAAAAGCUAAUUACAAAUGUAAAGUUUGCCAAACGGUGUUUAUGCUAAGUUGCAUUUCCAUGCUAAAAUUUACCAAACGGUGUAACAUUUCCGAAAGCCCCUUUCUCUCAAAGAUAUUUGCAUUUUCCCAAUGACAUUUCCCCAAAGCCGAACCAAAUGGGCCCCGCGCGAGGGAACGCUUCGAACGAGCAUCGGACACACGUGAAUUUUGUGCUUUGUUUUAUAUUCAAAUUGGGACGUAAGACUCAUGUAUAUUCUGGGUGUGGAAAAUAUUGAAACCUGUUCACGAUUGUAAUUCUAAUUUUUCAAUGAUAGUAGAUUAUCAGCUACUACCAACUCUCCCAAUACAGUAUGUACCUAGAUUUUUGACCGAAUAUUGUAAAGUUUAUGGUGUUUUUAAUUGUUCAUUGUUUUAUUUAUCUAGUGAUUUCGAGUUAAUUUAAAUUGUAAUAUCUUGUUAGUUUCUGUAUUAAUUUUACUAUGGAAAGUUCGGUGUCUAUACAUUACCCUUGACAUUCUACUUGUAAUCUAAAAAUGAAUAAUUACUAUAAAUUUUUAAACCUAUUAUUUGGAUAUCAAUUCAGUCAUUAAUUUUUUAAUUUAAUUAAUUUAGUUUUAAAUCUUUUGAUGAAUUGACAAUUUACUUAUUCCACCUAUAAUCGCUAACAUGGACAAAAUCAAACGUAUUGAUCUUUAAAAAAUCAUUUCAUGGAAGUCCUUUCCUUAAAAACAAUGACACCCUCCAGAUUGCUUUGGUUCUUCACAUUUUCGCGCUAGUCAAAACAGUGAUCUUUCAAACCAGUUCAUUUAAAGGCCACGGCACGGUAAAGGAAGAUCCAUUUACAUCGACGUCUUAGAGAGUAAUAGAAUGAAAUUUUAUACCAAUAGAUUCAGCAGAGAACAUGUCCUCCGAAAGAAUAACAGAGCAUUCGCACCCAAAAGUGCAGUAAGCGGGAAACUACUAGCUUCUGUUUCCCCACCAUUGCUACCAGAAAACAACCCCAUGCCCCUUCUUAUACGAGACACAUUUGCACUCAAAUGUCCUUUGUGUCAUAGCGGCAAUGCAAAGAGAAACGGAAAACGACUUUCAAAACCACGAGACAAGAUAAGACUAGGUCGAUGAAAAAAAAUGUACAGAAAGCUAAAUCAUUCGCGAGAAACCACGACCACUUGUUUCCCGAUGCUGCGACCAGAGAACACCCCGACAAGAGCUGCUGGACCGUUCUCGAGCCCUUCCGCGAUGUCUUCCAUGUACACAAUCUUCCCCUCUUUAAUCUGAGGCAAUACCGUCUCGAGGAACUUCGGGUAGAGAUGAUAGUAAUCAAACAUUGCAAAACCUUCCAUCCGAACCUGCUUCCAGAUAAGGUGCAUCAAGUUGUGUACGCCUUCGUGCUGCUCGAGGUUGUAUUGUGAGAUCAUUCCGCAUACUGUGAUUCGGCCAUGAGGUUUCAUGUUGAGCAGCACGGCAUCAAGCAUCUUUCCACCGACAUUUUCAAAGUAGAUAUCGAUCCCCUCAGGUAAGCAUCUAAACAUUCAAGACAGGAAAAAGUCAACUCUAGUCGGCUUUGGAAUGGGUACACAUUGAAUAUCAUGUACAUAAGUAAUGUGCUCGAUCAUCGUUACUAUAUUCCUAGUUCACCUUUUCAGUGCUGCAUCCAGAUCCAGUUCCUCCUUGUAGUUGAAAGCAUCAUCGAAUCCAAACUUGUUCUUCAGCAAAUCAACCUUUUUCCCAAACAUAACAGCAAGCGAGCAUUUUAAGUAAAGAUAAAAUCGGGAAGAGACAAUUAAGCAAUUCCUAUAUAAGGAAAAACUAGACAAAUGUGAGAUGAUUACCUUCUCUUUGCUACCGGCGCUGCCAACAACAUAACAACCAAACAACUUUGCAAACUGGCCGACAAGCUGACCAACAGCUCCCGAUGCCGCUGAUAUGAAAACAGUAUCUCCUUUCUUAGGAGAGCAUACCUCGAAAAACCCAGCAUAAGCCGUCAGACCUGGCAUACCUGUAAAGUUUGGAUUUAUGCAAAUUAGACAAGUUUCAAGAUUCGCUGGAGCAUAGAAGUAGGAGUGUAAUGCUAUGGCAAAUCUCAAAUGACCCGAUUUAAUUGAUCGAAGGUGAUGCCCCUGUCAAAUGGAUGAGAAAUAAUCAAUUUGGACACUUCUUUCAACACAAAAGACAGCUUUGCAAGGCUCCAUCGUUGAGACAAUUCAACAAGGGCAUACGGCACUUAAACAAGGAUGAUCCCCACAAGUAAAAUUCAAACGAAGCACGCUUUUUCCUUGCAUAAAAGCUGGAGGCUGUCCGUACUUGAGAACCAAAUAGACAGAACAAAGUAUCUUAACGAUUCGAUGCUCCUCAUUAUUUAACACUGAAAGAGAUAUCGCACCAGAUGAUUAAAGAGCAUACCUAGAAGGCCGGUGUAAUAAGACAGAGGAACAUCGGUGUGUUCGAUUUUAAAGCAAGUCUUUGGCGCAGUAAUUAGACUAUACUCCUCCCAUCGAGUGAGGCCCAAAACCAAGUCGCCUUUCUUGAAGUUCGGAUGCCCAGAUUCCAAAACUCUAGCUACCCCAUAUCCAGAAACAGUCUGCAUCAUUGUCUUGGAUACUUCAGAAUAUAAGUGGAACUACAAAUAGCAAACUCGAAUAGACUUUGAGCGUACAAGAAGGAAAGAGUAUGCUUCCUUUGAAUCUACUUGUUGAAUGUAAUUGUCACAAAUUUGAGUUUGGUUUAUGGGUGCGACUUCAUAAAUUACUGUUAGCAUCAUGUGUCGAGUAAACGUGACGAGAGAGAUGGCGGUACUUACAGAGCCGAGCUGAGUCGAGAACUUGAUUAGGUGGAGAUUGUAGGGAUCGCAGGCCAGGUACAAGUUCUUCACCAUGAUGGCCCCCGAAUCCUUGUCGGCCUUCGGUCUCUCCGAGCUCGUCCUCACUUCCAGGUGGGUCUCCUUCAGGGAACCUUGUACCUUCUCUCUGUAAAUCACCUGUUUGUUCCUCAUAACUUCCGCUGAGGCGUUGCUGUUCUCCUUCUCCAUUCUCUCUCUCUCUCUCUCUCUCUCUCUCUG
rnacentral:lncRNA from 1 species